rnacentral:snRNA from 1 species
GCUGUCUCCUUCAGCAGCACACACNAAAGCUGGAAGGACACAGAGAAGGUUAGCACGGCCCCCGUGCGAGGAUGGCACACAACUGUGAAGCAUUCCAUGUUAGA